UGUAUUUAUCUAAUUUCUUAGUUUUUCAUCUUUUUCCUCUAAUUUUAAUUCAACAUAAUUAAUUAUUAAAUCUGAAUAUUAGGUUCAAUUACAUCCCCUAAUAAUGAGGAAACAGAGAAGGCAACGGUUUCAAAAUUCUCAGAAAAUUUUCUAGCCAAAAUUUGUAUCUGGACAUCCAAAAGUCGCCAUAUGAAACGCACCUUUAUUGAAGAAAACAAAAGUGCUCCUUCGUAACAACAAUAAAAGCAACAAAAAGAACCGCAGUUGACAUUCCAUUCUCCCUCCUACAGCCUACAGGGUUUUGAUCUACUAAGAACGAGCGGAUAUAUCUGAAUAUAGGUGGAAGAAUCGUUAGCAGAGGCAUCUCUCUUUUGAACCAUUUCUUCAAAAAGUGAAAAGGCACCUUCUCUUGAUGAUUUUUUCCACGGCUCAGUUUGUUUUCACAUCCUCGCAGUCUAAGGUAUAUACUCCACAAAAUCAUUAAACUCCUGCUUUUGAAAGUUAAAGUUCUCUCUUGUAAUGUUAGGUCCACGUUAAUUAUCUUUUUCUUUUUAUUUCUGUCCACUUUAUUCGGUGCCCGAAACUCUAAUUAGUUGAAGUGUUGACAGCUCAUGGGCAGACUUUCAUCGUUUGUCACUUGAACAAUAUGUGUGUGUAAAUAUUUUAACAAAUACGUAUUUUUCUUAAGUUACAACCAUUGUAAAAAAA